UGACACGCUGAGAGGAGAUGCAUGGCCGACGUCAGCCUGUGUCGUGAGAUGACCUGUUAAAUCAGGUAACAGGCGAGACCCGCGUGUAUAGUUGCUAUCUGAUGAAGAAGCACUCUAUACAGACUGCAUGGGUAACCAUGAGGAAGGCGCGGGCUACGUUAGGUAGUACGUCCCGAAUACCCUGGGCGACACGCGCGCGGCAAUGCUAGAUUCAAUGAGACGCAACUCUGAAAAGAGAAGCUAAUCUCCAAAAUUUAGCUUAGUUCAGAUUGAGGUUUGAAACUCAGCCUCAUGACGCUGGAAUCCGUAGUAAUCGUUCUUUAGCAUAGAACGGUGAAUAUGUCCCGGUUCCUUGCACACACCGCCCAUCAAACUAACCGAGUUUUGCAUUGACGAGGCUUUUCGAAGACGAAUCUUUGUAAGACAAGGUAAGUUAAGUUGACACAAGGUCACCGUAGGGGAACCUGCGGUGGGAUCACCUCCUA
rnacentral:rRNA from 1 species